rnacentral:lncRNA from 1 species
GUGCUGCAAUAUCAUCACUGGAAGAAAUCUCUCAUUCUUACAUCACAGGAAAUCCUCUGAAGUAUAUUCUCUAGCCACAUUUCUUCCGUGAAAUGGUUUACUGUAGAGUUAUACAACCUGCAUUAGCAAAAGGAGGAAAGACAGCCUGGAGUAUUCAGCAAAAUAAAGCUCUUGAACACAUUUCUUGUAAGGGUAACUUAUCCAAUCCUAAUCAAUUCCUGUGCAUACAAGGAAAGCAGGAGGGAAAUAGAAAACAGAAGGUAAAUUUAAAAGCAGCACGUCUGAAGGAAAUGCUCAGAAGUUUCCAUUUAAAUACAUUUGUGACUUCAGUAAGGUCUUGUGUUCAUUUAAGCAUCUCCCUGGAGGAAACCAUAUCUUUGCCAAAAGAUUUGACUGAAAUAUUGAAGAAUCCUAGUCAGCAAUCUACACAAGAAGCAGUGGUUCUUAAUAAAUAUGAAAGGCUGGAAUGA